UCAAACUUGGUCAUUUAGAGGAAGUAAAAGUCGUAACAAGGUCUCCGUAGGUGAACCUGCGGAGGGAUCAUUAACACUAUUUGGCUUGACACAUUUGUUUCACGACAUCUGUGUUGAGUUCAAAUUUCCACACACAUUGCGAACUCGUUGAUUUCUUCUCGUCAAACAGAAGAAAUUAGCCUAAUACAACUGUCUCGAGGGUUAGGAGGCCGACGCGACGCAGUGGGCGACAAUUCAUUUCUUCGGAAAUGGAGAACUCGCAGCUCCGCUUCCGUACCUCGACGUGGUUAAUUUUGGGAGAUGUGACACUCACGCGUCUCGGCCCCUUUGCCAUCACCUUUAAACCAAUCGACUAAUUUCAAAGAUUAACGGAAACGUUUGAUCUUUAAUAUCUAAACUAAGCACAACUCUUAGCAACGGAUAUCUUGGUUCUCGCAUCGAUGAAGAACGCAGC
rnacentral:misc_RNA from 1 species